UACGUAGGAGACGAGCGUUGUCCGGAGUUACUGGGCGUAAAGAGCUCGUAGGUGGUUUGUCGCGUUGUUCGUGAAAACUCACAGCUUAACUGUGGGCGUGCGGGCGAUACGGGCAGACUGGAGUACUGCAGGGGAGACUGGAAUUCCUGGUGUAGCGGUGGAAUGCGCAGAUAUCUGGAGGAACACCGGUGGCGAAGGCGGCGUCCUGGACCAAUACUGACACUGAGGAGCGAAAGCCAGGGGAGCAA
rnacentral:rRNA from 1 species